rnacentral:rRNA from 1 species
GACGAACGCUGGCGGCGUGCCUAAUACAUGCAAGUCGAGCGCAGGAAGCCGUUCUGAACCCUCCGGGGGGACGACGGUGGAAUGAGCGGCGGACGGGUGAGUAACACGUAAAGAACCUGCCCAUAGGUCUGGGAUAACCACGAGAAAUCGGGGCUAAUACCGGAUGUGUCAUCGGACCGCAUGGUCCGCUGAUGAAAGGCGUUCCGGCGUCGCCCAUGGAUGGCUUUGUGGUGCAUUAGCUAGUUGGUGGGGUAACGGCCCACCAAGGCGACGAUGGAGAGCCGACCGGGGAGGGUGAUCGGCAACAAUGGGACUGAGACACGGCCCAGACUCCUACGGGAGGCAGCAGUAGGGAAUCUUCCACAAUGGACGAAAGUCUGAUGAAGCAACGCCGCGUGAACGAUGAAGGCUUUCGGGUCGUAAAGUUCUGUUGUAAGGGAAGAACAAGUGCCGCAGGCAAUGGCGGCACCUUGGCGGUACCUUGCGAGAAAGCCACGGCUAACUACGUGCCAGCAGCCGCCGUAACAC